rnacentral:rRNA from 1 species
UACAGAGGUGGCAAGCGUUGUUCGGAAUUACUGGGCGUAAAGGGCGCGUAGGCGGCCAUCUAAGUCGAACGUGAAAUCCCCGGGCUCAACCCGGGAACUGCGUCCGAUACUGGCAGGCUUGAAUCCGGGAGAGGGAUGCGGAAUUCCAGGUGUAGCGGUGAAAUGCGUAGAUAUCUGGAGGAACACCGGUGGCGAAGGCGGCAUCCUGGACCGGCAUUGACGCUGAGGCGCGAAAGCCAGGGGAGCAAACGGG